rnacentral:rRNA from 1 species
GACGAACGCUGGCGGCGUGCUUAACACAUGCCAGUCGAACGGAAAGGCCCUGCUUUUGUGGGGUGCUCGAGUGGCGAACGGGUGAGUAACACGUGAGUAACCUGCCCUUGACUUUGGGAUAACUUCAGGAAACUGGGGCUAAUACCGGAUAGGAGCUCCUGCUGCAUGGUGGGGGUUGGAAAGUUUCGGCGGUUGGGGAUGGACUCGCGGCUUAUCAGCUUGUUGGUGGGGUAGUGGCUUACCAAGGCUUUGACGGGUAGCCGGCCUGAGAGGGUGACCGGCCCCAUUGGGACUGGGAUACGGCCCACACCCCUACGGGAGGAAGCAGUGGGGAAUAUUGCACAAGGGGCGGAAGCCUGAUGCAGCAACGCCGCGUGCGGGAUGACGGCCUUCGGGUUGUAAACCGCUUUCGCCUGUGACGAAGCGUGAGGGACGGUAAUGGGUAAAGAAGCACCGGCUAACUACGU